UACGGGGGGGGCAAGUGUUCUUCGGAAUGACUGGGCGUAAAGGGCACGUAGGCGGUGAAUCGGGUUGAAAGUGAAAGUCGCCAAAAAGUGGCGGAAUGCUCUCGAAACCAAUUCACUUGAGUGAGACAGAGGAGAGUGGAAUUUCGUGUGUAGGGGUGAAAUCCGUAGAUAUCGGAAGGAACACCGGUGGCGAAGGCGGGUCUCUGGGCCGUAACUGACGCUGAGGAGCGAAAGCAUGGGGAGCGAACAGG
rnacentral:rRNA from 1 species